UACGGAGGGUGCAAACGUUAUUCGGAAUCACUGGGCAUAAAGGGCGCGUAGGCGGCUUUCUAAGUCAGGGGUGAAAUCCGGCAGCUCAACUGUCGCAGUGCCUUUGAUACUGGAGAGCUCGAGGGAGGUAGGGGUCUGUGGAACUUCCGGUGGAGCGGUGAAAUGCGUUGAUAUCGGAAGGAACGCCGGUGGCGAAAGCGACGGACUGGAUCUCUUCUGACGCUGAGGCGCGAAAGCCAGGGGAGCAAACGGG
rnacentral:rRNA from 1 species